rnacentral:rRNA from 1 species
UGGGCAACCUGCCCUCAGCUCUGGGAUAACUCCAAGAAAUUGGGGCUAAUACCGGAUAUGACCGCUGACCGCAUGGUCUGGUGGUGGAAAGAUUUAUCGGCUGGGGAUGGGCCCGCGGCCUAUCAGCUUGUUGGUGGGGUAGUGGCUUACCAAGGCGACGACGGGUAGCCGGCCUGAGAGGAUGACCAGCCACAUUGGGACUGAGACACGGCCCAGACUCCGUACGGGAG